rnacentral:lncRNA from 1 species
UCUCUCUCUCGCAUCUCUGUGGGUGCUCCACGGUGUCACCACCACCUACAUCAUACAACAUCAAAAUUGAUACGCCCAUCUCCACCACUAUCACCGGCGUUGCAGAGAAUCGAAGUUAGUAGCCGUGGCGGUUCAGUCUUUUUGACAACAAUUAGGCGUGCAAUAGACUAAGGUGGUCAACGACGAAACCUACGGUUGCGCCGGAAUUGAAGACACUUUCGUUAUCGGGUUCUCAUUUUGGUACUUAACCUCAUCUCAUCAAAUUGAUCCAUUCUUCAAUACAUGUCGCGCAGAUAAUUGAAGUUAGUAGCCGUGGCGGUUCAGGCUUUUUGACAACAAUUAGGCGUGCAAUAGACUAAGGUGGUCAACGACGAAACCUACGGUUGCGCCGGAAUUGAAGACACUUUCGUUAUCGGGAGGUUCAUCAUUUUCGGAUACUUAGAUCCUGCAUCGUUUUCCACUAUGAUGCACGGAUUCUUCAAAAAUU